rnacentral:lncRNA from 13 species
AUUUAUACGGAGACUUGAUUACACACAGGUGGAUUGUAUUUAUCAUCAUUAGUCAUUUAGGUACACAUUGGAUCAUUCAGAGAUCCUCACUGAACUUCUGGAGAGUGUUUGCUGCACUGAAAGUAAAGGGGCUGAAUAAUUUUGCACGCCCAAUUUUUCAGUUUUUGAUUUGUUAAAAAAGUUUGAAAUAUCCAAUAAAUGUCGUUCCACUUCAUGAUUGUGUCCCACUUGUUGUUGAUUCUUCACAAAAAAAUACAGUUUUAUAUCUUUAUGUUUGAAGCCUGAAAUGUGGCAAAAGGUCGCAAAGUUCAAGGGGGCCGAAUACUUUCGCAAGGCACUGUAUAUCAUGUUGUUUGAUCUGUAACUGUGAGGAGAUACUAUAUAAUGUUGUUGUCUCUGUAACCAUGAGGAGGAGAUACUAUAUAAUGUUGUUGUCUCUGUAACCAUGAGGAGGAGAUACUAUAUAAUGUUGUUGGGUCUGUAACCGUGAGGAGAUACAAUAUAAUGUUGUUGGGUCUGUAACCGUGAGGAGGGGAUACUAUAUAAUGUUGUUGGGUCUGCAACCAUGAGGAGGGGAUACUAUAUAAUGUUGUUGGGUCUGGAACCGUGAGGAGGGGAUACUAUAUAAUGUUGUUGGGUCUGCAACCAUGAGGAGACACUAUAUAAUGUUGUUGGGUCUGUAACCAUGAGGAGGGUCUGUAACCGUGAGGAGGGGAUACUAUAUAAUGUUGUUGGGUCUGCAACCAUGAGGAGGGGAUACUAUAUAAUGUUGUUGGGUCUGGAACCGUGAGGAGGGGAUACUAUAUAAUGUUGUUGGGUCUGCAACCAUGAGGAGACACUAUAUAAUGUUGUUGGGUCUGUAACCAUGAGGAGGAGAUACUAUAUAAUGUUGUUGGGUCUGUAACCGUGAGAAGGAGAUACUAUAUAAUGUUGUUGUCUCUGUAACCGUGAGGAGAUACUAUAUAAUGUUGUUGGGUCUGGAACCGUGAGNNNNNNNNNNCCUUGUUCUCACCCAAUGGGCCCUGGUAAAAAAA